rnacentral:rRNA from 1 species
UGGUGGAGUGAUUUGUCUGGUUAAUUCCGAUAACGAGCGAGACCUCAGCCUACUAAUUAGUUAGGUAAAUCUUCGGAUUUUCAUUACGCUUCUUAGAGAGACUAUCGGUUCUAGCCGAUGGAAGUUUGAGGCAAUAACA